rnacentral:rRNA from 1 species
UACGAAGGGUGCAAACGUUGCUCGGAAUUAUUGGGCGUAAAGCGCACGUAGGCGGCAUUGCAAGUCGGAUGUGAAAUCCCUCGGCUCAACCAAGGAAGUGCAUCCGAAACUGCUGUGCUUGAGUACUUAAGAGGAUCGCGGAAUUCCCGGUGUAGAGGUGAAAUUCGUAGAUAUCGGGAGGAACACCAGUGGCGAAGGCGGCUUCCUGGCCUGUUCUUGACGCUGAGGCGCGAAAGCUAGGGGAGCGAACAGG